UUUCGCAAUGCCCGAAAGGGUGACGAAGCGACGCCGCGUGAGUGAGGAAGGCCUUCGGGUUGUAAAGCUCUGUCAGGAGUUAAGAAAUAUAAGUGUGUUAAUACCACAUUUAUUUGACGAAGGCUCCAAAGGAAGCCACGGCUAACUCUGUGCCAGCAGCCGCGGUAAUACAGAGGUGGCAAGCGUUGUUCGGAAUUAUUGGGCGUAAAGAGCACGUAGGUGGGUUUGUAAGUCAGAUGUGAAAGCCUUCUGUUCAACGGAAGAAUUGCAUCUGAAACUGCGAGUCUUGAGUGUAGGAGGGGAGAAUGGAACUUCCGGUGGAGCGGUGAAAUGCGUAGAUAUCAGAAGGAACGCCGGCGGCGAAAGCGAUUCUCUGGCCUAUUACUGACACUCAGUGUGCGAAAGCUAGGGGAGCAAACGGGAUUAGAUACCCCGGUAGUCCUAGCUGUAAACGAUGGGCACUAAGUAGAGGGGUUUUA
rnacentral:rRNA from 1 species